rnacentral:lncRNA from 1 species
CGUGACUGGUCCAAUACACCAAUGAAUUGUGUAGACACAAGCAAGUUUUUGAAUUAUGACUAGUAGAUGCAUUACCAUAUGCCACAAUGGAUCGAGGAACAAGAACGAUCCGAGGAUUAAACAAAUAAAGGAGCCCCGGUGCUGGUUUGUGGAGGAACGAUGUGAGGAUGUAACCUGCUUGUAAGCCGGAGCAUCCACCAUGGUGAACUAUUUAUCUCCUUCCUCCCC